rfam:Eucalyptus grandis cultivar BRASTZ1 unplaced genomic scaffold scaffold_5, whole genome shotgun sequence.
UUUCAUUGAAUAUAACACUUGGGCUAAGGGUCAAGUUGGUAAUUUUUCUUACAUCUGCCCCGCUCGGAGCCCAAGUAUCAUAUAUGCCCCCAAACG